GGGCCUGUAGCACAGCCUGGAUAGCGCGACUGCCUUCUAAGCAGUAGGUCGUGGGUUCAAAUCCCAUCAGGCCCG
rnacentral:tRNA from 1 species